GGGCCGAGAGGGGCUUCUGCCUUUCACUGGGGAAUUGACAGCUCCGUCAGUCCCGGCAGUGCCAGGAAGGUGGCAGUGGCUGCUGCCGGGACCACAGAAGAAGAAACAGAUCAAGGCACAUGGAUCCCUGGAACAGUGAGAACUCAGAAAACAAAAGGAAUGGCAUCAGCAGACAGGAGCAGAAAAGUCCCACCAUUGAGAGCUGCCGGCCAGAAAUCAGUAGCAGGUAUUGCUGAAACUGCAAGCAGACCCAAAAAGAAGAUUGACGGUGACCAGACCCAGGUAGGAUACAGAGCAACCUUCAGAUCAACUGCUGGGACUUGUGCUGAUGUCUUUGUGAGGGAGGUCGCGUAGUUCAAAGUAAAAUUAUCUGUGUUUCUAAUUACCUUCUUUCAAUUCAUCA